rnacentral:rRNA from 1 species
CAGUCGCCACGGGAAUACGUAGGUGGCAAGCGUUGUCCGGAAUUAUUGGGCGUAAAGGGCUCGCAGGCGGUUUUUUAAGUCUGAUGUGAAAGCCCCCGGCUCAACCGGGGAGGGUCAUUGGAAACUGGGAAACUUGAGUGCAGAAGAGGAGAGUGGAAUUCCACGUGUAGCGGUGAAAUGCGUAGAGAUGUGGAGGAACACCAGUGGCGAAGGCGACUCUCUGGUCUGUAACUGACGCUGAGGAGCGAAAGCGUGGGGAGCGAACAGGAUUAGAUACCCCCGUAGUCCCUGUCUCUUAUAC